ensembl:lncRNA
UCUCGUCACAUCACAUCACAUCAAAUCAUAUAUGGAUGUAUUAAGUGAGUGUGUCUCUGAGAGCAUGAGCUCAUCCUGCAUUAGCAGCCGCCGGAGGGAAGGAUUGAGUUUGUGGGCAGCCGGUCUCGGUGCCGGUUUGGCUCGUGUUUACCAGCAGACAGCUGGUCUGUAGAGAUGAUUCACAGAUCUGUGUCUGGAGAAAGCUGAUCCGCUGCUGACGGUGCAGGAAAGCCUGAUGUGAGCGGAUGAUGCUGUCAGACUCAGCUGCUGCACUCCAGGAAUUGAAUCAGCAUGCUUUUGCCAAGGGCCAAAAUUCAAAUGCAAUACAACUGUGCAAAAUUAAUGCAGUUUCCAGUGAAAAUCAGCGGAAGGAAACCGGAUCAGAUCCACUUCAGCGACGGAAAUGAGCGAUGAAUGACUUCCAUGAACCUGGACGGAUCGCGAACUCCCAGCAGAGUUUGUCUGUGUGAACGUCUGCUGCAAUCGACCCCUAAAAACAACCUGGACUCUACCAUUUAGAAUAAAUCUGAGCAUCGCAGGCAGACGCUCCUGAUGAACAGACAAUAACACUGAUGCAUCGUUUCCAGGAAAGUCCUCCGUGAUAUCGACCCCUCCUUUGCACUUAUUAAAGACACAGCGAGGUGCAAUCAGAAUACAGAAAAGCACCGGCAGAAUCACUUUCAUCUGUAAUUCACAAUCGACAGAAUCAGGACUACAUCAGGGAUUGAUUCUCUGUCUGCUGGAAAAACAUCACGUGACACAUGUUUUGCUGAAACUAAGACACACAGAGUCUCCCCGUGACUCCCGUCAGCGCCUGAUUGGGCGGAAUCUCGUCGCCGUAACCAUGGCGACUGCCCACAGAGCACCUGGAGUGGUGACGCAGGCGUCGCUAUGACUCCUGAAGGACGGAGCGGUGAUAUAAAUAGAAAAAGAGAUAAGAAACGGGGGGAUAUUUGGGGAAGAUGAUGGCAGCUGUGACCCACACACACACACACACACUAGAGCCACAGGUGUGCCACUGACUGAAUGCCAGUGGGAAUGGCUCUCAAUGUGACUUUGGAAACUCGUCACCAGCAGGGAUUUCACUGUCAAUCCGACUGUAACAGGAGACGUGGAGCACUAAAGUGUGUCGUCCCACAGGAAAAUGAUGAAUAUUGCUCAGACGAGGCUCUCUUACAGCUCAGGAGACUCUCUUACAGCUCAGGAGACUCUUGUUUUAAGGAUGAGCUUUGUCUCAGAUGUUUCUUUUUAGAAAUGGAAGUAAAAACUAGAAUAUUUACAUUUUCUGAAGGAAAUAUUGUGUUUUAACAUGAAGAGGGGAAAGGGUUCUUACAGUAAACUAAAACUAGCACAAUAGAAAAUUGUUAAUUAAAAUACAAAGCUUUAAUUAAAAUAAAAUAAAAUAAAAUAAAAUAUAUAAAAUGUAAAAGUAAUUUAUUUCAGCAAUUUUUUAAUUUUCUGUAUUUUAACUUUAUCUGAUAUAUAUGCAAUGAAUUAAAAAAUACACAUUACAUACAUACAUGGGAUUAUUCUUAUUUAAAACUAAAAUCAUUUUAAAUAAUUUUGUUAUUAAAAAUGUCAACUAAAAUUAAAUAAAAUAUUUUUAAAAACUUAAAAAAAUAUGACAAUUUUAAGUUUAGUUUAAGUAACAGAAUAACUAAAACUGGAAAACUAUAUAGACUUAUUCAAACUUAAUCAAAUAAAAAAAUUAAAAACAUUCAAAUAUGAAUAAAGACUAUAUUAGUAUCUCAAUGAUACUGCUUUACUACAUUGUUGUUUGGUUGCUAGGUUGUUAUUGGUGGUUGCUAGGCAGUUGCUAACACGUGAGUCACUAGAUGUCAUUCAGUAAGAUUUUAGAGCUAUAAAAUGAACGUUGCUCAUUUUAUGUUUGGGUUCUUAUUGAGAUUUUGAUUGCAGACUUUGGUCACUGGAAAGUUGAGCUCAGCUUGAGACUCAUGUGAGUUCAACUUUUUUCAGGAGAAACAUCUGAGAAGCAGCACGACUCGGCAGAACUUUGUCACCGCAGUAAAGCCACACUGACUGAAUGCCGUCUACUGAAGCUUACAUCUUCAUUAAUAAUCUCACGGUUCAUACUUUAUCACUAAGUGGUAUUUUUUCUUCUGCGACAGAGCUUAAACUCCUCUUUCUCAGCACACAGAAAAGACUGGAUGAUGAAAGAGUGAAAGCAUACACUCCCAAACCACACACACACACACACACAUGGAGCAGCACUAUGGCCUAGUAAACAGUGUGAUGGGGAACUCUGAGCAGCAUUACUCAACGCUUGAUGAUUAUUUACACAAACAUGCCGUCUGGAAACAAGGUAAAGAUGGAUCCGGAGAAAAAACUCAAAGCAUCUGCUGUCCGUCUCACCCUUCCUCACAUGUGAGAUCUCUUUAAGUGCUCACGUGAUUCAUGAUUUAAUAUGCUUCUUCUUAGAAAAGACCCAGUAAUCUCUCAGAUCUCAAACUGUACUCUGAUAAGCCAAGAUCCAAAAGUCAAAUCAAUUCACAUUUAUUUCUAGAACACUUU